CAGUAGCCGCGGUAAUACGUAGGGUGCGAGCGUUAAUCGGAAUUACUGGGCGUAAAGCGUGCGCAGGCGGUUAUAUAAGACAGAUGUGAAAUCCCCGGGCUCAACCUGGGACCUGCAUUUGUAACUGUAUAGCUAGAGUACGGUAGAGGGGGAUGGAAUUCCGCGUGUAGCAGUGAAAUGCGUAGAUAUGCGGAGGAACACCGAUGGCGAAGGCAAUCCCCUGGACCUGUACUGACGCUCAUGCACGAAAGCGUGGGGAGCAAACAGGAUUAGAUACCCCCGUAGUCCCUGUCUCUUAUAC
rnacentral:rRNA from 1 species